GACGAACGCUGGCGGCGUGCUUAACACAUGCAAGUCGAACGGAAAGACCCUGCUUUUGUGGGGUGCUCGAGGGGCGAACGGGUGAGUAACACGUGAGUAACCUGACCUUGACUUUGGGAUAACUUCAGGAAACGGGGGCUAAUAUCGGAUAGGAUCUCCUGCACCAGGGUGGGGGGUGGAAAGUUUCGGCGGUUGGGGAUGGACUGGCGGCUUAUCAGCUUGUUGGUUGGGUAGUGGCUUACCAAGGGUGUGACGGGUAGCCGGCCUGUGAGGGUGACCGGCGACAUUGGGACUGAGGUACGGCGCAGACUCCUACGGGAGGCAGCGGUGGGGAAUCUUGCACAAUGGGCGGAAGCCUGAUGCAGCAACGCCGCGUUCGGGAUGACGGCCUUUGGGUUGUGAACCGCUUUCGCUUGUUACGACGCGUGAGUGACGGUAAUGGGUAAAGAAGCACCGGCUAACUACGUG
rnacentral:rRNA from 1 species